rnacentral:rRNA from 1 species
UACGUAGGGGGCAAGCGUUGUCCGGAAUCAUUGGGCGUAAAGCGCGCGUAGGCGGCCCGGUAAGUCCGUUGUGAAAGUCAAAGGCUCAACCUUUGAACGCCGAUGGAUACUGCCGGGCUAGAGUCCGGAAGAGGCGAGUGGAAUUCCUGGUGUAGCGGUGGAAUGCGCAGAUAUCAGGAGGAACACCAAUGGCGAAGGCAGCUCUCUGGGACGGUACUGACGCUGAGACGCGAAAGCGUGGGGAGCGAACAGG